GAAUGAAGAACGUAGCGAAAUGCGAUAAGUAAUGUGAAUUGCAGAAUUCAGUGAAUCAUCGAAUCUUUGAACGCACCUUGCGCCUCUUGGUAUUCCGAGAGGCAUGCCUGUUUGAGUGUCUUAUAAAAUCAAUCCCCACGGGUUUCUUGACCUGGCGGUGGACUUGGAAUUGGGCGUCUGCCGUUCACGUGGCUCGCCUUAAAGACGUUAGUGGGACAAGUUGCCUACGGCUUGACGUAAUAAGUUUCGUCAGACCCGGUGGCUUAUGCCCGCUCAUAACCCUCACCUGCCUCGCGGCGGCUGAACCCUUUAUGCUAGACCUCAAAUCAGGUAGGACUACCCGCUGAACUUAAGCAUAUCAAUAAGCGGAGGA
rnacentral:misc_RNA from 1 species